rnacentral:rRNA from 1 species
UACAAUUGGUGCUAGUGAAAUUUUUUGGUUAUGAUAUUUUUCUUAUUAUUUUUUGCAGACUUUUAUUUUAUUUAGGGUGAAAUUUCAAUUUUUAUGCUCUGUUUUGGUUGGAUAUUAUAUGAAGGUAUUUUUAAGACUAGGAUUAGAUACCCUAUUAUGUUUACUGUAAAUUUUUGACCUUAGUAUUAAUAGUUAUGAUCUUUAAAUUAAAAGAAUUUGGCGGUAGUUUAAUCUUUCCAGAGGAACCUGUCCUUUAAUUGAUAAUCCACGUUGAAUUUUACUUUAUUAUUUGCUUGUAUACCUCUGUCAUUGAAUGUUCUUUUAGGAUAUUUUCUUUAAUCUUUUUUGAGUAAAAUGUUAGGUCAAGGUGCAGCUUUAAUAAAGUUUGAGAUGGGUUACUAUAUUUUUAUAUUUGGAUAUUAUUGUUGGAAUACAGUUUUGAAAUAGGAUUUGGAAGUAAUUUUUUUUAUUUAUUAAUUUUGAUUUUGGCUCUAAACUAUGUACACAUCGCCCGUCGCUCUCAUUUUAAGGUGAG